rnacentral:rRNA from 1 species
UGGUUCUGCGUGGAAGGGCCAUCGCUCAACGGAUAAAAGCUACCCUGGGGAUAACAGGCUUAUCUCCCCCAAGAGUCCACAUCGACGGGGAGGUUUGGCACCUCGAUGUCGGCUCAUCACAUCCUGGGGCUGUAGUAGGUCCCAAGGGUUGGGCUGUUCGCCCAUUAAAGUGGUACGCGAGCUGGGUUCAGAACGUCGUGAGACAGUUCGGUCCCUAUCCGUCGCAGGCGUAGGAAAUUUGAGAAGACCUGUCCUUAGUACGAGAGGACCGGGAUGGACGUACCUCUGGUGUACCAGUUGUUCUGCCAAGGGCAUGGCUGGGUAGCUAUGUACGGAAUGGAUAAGCGCUGAAAGCAUCUAAGCGCGAAGCCAACUUCAAGAUAAGAUUUCCCACCGCAAGGGUAAGACCCCAGAAAGACUAUCUGGUUGAUAGGUCGAAGGUGUAAGUGCAGCAAUGUAUUUAGCUUAUCGAUACUAAUAGGUCGAGGACUUGACCAAU